CAUAUCAAUAAGCGGAGGAAAAGAAACCAACAGGGAUUGCCUCAGUAACGGCGAGUGAAGCGGCAAAAGCUCAAAUUUGAAACCCUCGGGAUUGUAAUUUGAAGAUUUGGCAUUGGAGAAAGCUAACCCAAGUUACUUGGAAUAGUACGUCAUAGAGGGUGACAACCCCGUCUGGCUAACCGUUCUCCAUGUAUUGCCUUAUCAAAGAGUCGAGUUGUUUGGGAAUGCAGCUCAAAGUGGGUGGUAAACUCCAUCUAAAGCUAAAUACUGGUGAGAGACCGAUAGCGAACAAGUACUGUGAAGGAAAGGUGAAAAGAACUUUGAAAAGAGAGUGAAAUAGUAUGUGAAAUUGUUGAUAGGGAAGGAAAUGAGCGGAGAGUGGUUGAGGUUUCAGCCUCCCUUUGGGGUGGUGUAUUGCCGACGCCGAGUCAUUGUCCGCGAGACGGGGGUUAUAAACGGGUUGCAUUCAUGCUUCUCACCUAACCCCCCCACUGCAGUCAACGACAUAAUCCGCCCAUUUCACCCGUCUUGAAACACGGACCAAGGAGUCUAAUGGAUAUGUGAGUGUUAGGGUGCAAAACCCCAGCGCGCAAUGAAAGUGAAUGAUUCGUUCAGAAUCGACCGAACUUGAUUUUUAUGACAGUUUUGAGUAAACACAUCCAUUGGGACCCGAAAGAUGGUGAACUAUGCCUGAAUAGGGUGAAGUCAGAGGAAACUCUGAUGGAGGCUCGUAGCGGUUCUGACGUGCAAAUCGAUCGUAGAAUUUGGGUAUAGGGGCGAAAGACUAAUCGAACCAUCUAGUAGCUGGUUCCUGC
rnacentral:rRNA from 1 species